rfam:Selaginella moellendorffii unplaced genomic scaffold SELMOscaffold_76, whole genome shotgun sequence.
GGUCCUAUGGUCUAGUGGUCAUGACUUUGGAUUCUGACUCCAACAAUCUGAGUUCAAAUCUCAGUAGGACCU